AUAAAUAGGGGACAGUCCCCAUAAACUGUAUAGAU
rnacentral:guide_RNA from 1 species